rnacentral:misc_RNA from 1 species
CACUAAAUUCACUCAUAAAGCUUUGAAAACUGCUUUUCCUUGAAUGCAGUAGCUAUACAUGUAACACAACACCAGUGUAAAAUGGUUCACUAGUGAAUAUAACUGAGCUAAUUAUACCUUAUCCUUGUUAUUCGGCAUUAUUACAUUAAUUACAAGACUAUAGUGGGAGUAGACCAUAUAUGGUAUGUGGUGUGACUGAGUUGUUAUCAUUCUUUCUACACGAAAAGGUUUCACUGAUGCAUGCGGUUAAUGGAGCGUAUCAUGCACACAGCAGCACACUCUGAGUUUGUACCAAAUUUGAUCAUUUCACUCAUACACUGCUUUUCCAGGAACACAGUAUAGCAGUUAGAAGACUAACUAGGCUUUUAACUUGCAGCUCGACUUGCAGGGAACGCCUUUUAAUUUUUUAAUGAGGCGUGGCUCAGGCCUAGAUUUUUUAAAUGGCAAAACUUGUAAGAUCUUCAUUGAGGUCUUAUGUGGAGGGUGUCAAAAAAGCCAUUGCUCUUAAACCGCUUGAUGACAGUGAGAAACUGAUGCUUUGGGACCUGAGGGAUGAAGAUUGUGUUAAUGAGUGGGAAUGUAUUAGUGAUGAAGAAAAAGGAGGAGGCUCUAAAGCCACUUUUAAGUCAAAUAAAAAAGGUACGGGCUCUGUCUUUGAAGGUGUUUUAAAUACUAGCAUUAAAAACACAGAGCUGAAAUACAGUGGAUAUUGUGCCAUUAGAUCAAAGCCAGUAAAAUAUCGCAGCUUAGAUUAAAUGAAAAUGGAUCGAAAAGACGUCUCAGAAUUUGAUGCUUUUGAGAUUCAAGUGAGAGGAGACGGAUGGAAAUUCUUUGCUAACAUU